rnacentral:ncRNA from 1 species
UAUCUGGUUGAUCCUGCCAGUAGUCAUAUGCUUGUCUCAAAGAUUAAGCCAUGCAUGUCUAAGUAUAAGCAAUUUAUACAGUGAAACUGCGAAUGGCUCAUUAAAUCAGUUAUCGUUUAUUUGAUAGUUUCUUUACUACAUGGAAUACCUGUGGUAAUUCUAGAGCUAAUACAUGCUUAAAAUCCCAACUUAGCGAAGGGAUGUAUUUAUUAGAUAAAAAAUCAAUGUCUUCGGACUUCUGAUGAUUCAUAAUAACUUUUCGAAUCGCAUGGCUUUAUGCUGGCGAUGGUUCAUUCAAAUUUCUGCCCUAUCAACUUUUGAUGGUAGGAUAGUGGCCUACCAUGGUUUCAACGGGUAACGGGGAAUAAGGGUUCGAUUCCGGAGAGGGGAGCCUGAGAAACGGCUACCACAUCCAAGGAAGGCAGCAGGCGCGCAAAUUACCCAAUCCUAAUUCAGGGAGGUAGUGACAAUAAAUAACGAUACAGGGCUUUAUGUCUUGUAAUUGGAAUGAGUACAAUUUAAAUACCUUAACGAGGAACAAUUGGAGGGCAAGUCUGGUGCCAGCAGCCGCGGUAAUUCCAGCUCCAAUAGCGUAUAUUAAAGUUGUUGCAGUUAAAAAGCUCGUAGUUGAACUUUGGGCUUGGAGAAUCGGUCCAACUUUGUUGUGUACUGUCUUCUCCAGGUCUUUCCUUCUGGUUCUCAUUUGGGGUUUACUCCAUUUGUUGAUCCAGGAUUUUUACUUUGAAAAAAUUAGUAGUUGUUA